rnacentral:sRNA from 1 species
AUGUAUUUCUUGGAGCUACUGAUUUAGUUUCACGAUCCGUGGCACAUGCAAAAUAUGACAUCCGAACCGUUCACUAACGAUUGUAAAAAACACAGCGAGUGGACGCAGUGACCGUCCGAUCAGGCGGCGGGGCAAAACAGUAAAUGCAAGGCAACGCGGUCCGCGAUUCCGCCGCCAAGUUGGGUUUGUUGAACAAGCAAUAUAUAUACAAAGAGAGAGGUACGAACUCUGAAUUCGCACCCUAGUUUCUGACGACAGAAUCUCCUCUCUCCAAAUCCAAGAAUUCGCUUCCGUCUUCUCGAAUCUAAGAAACCCAAGAGAUGGCCCGUACCAAGCAAACCGCUCGCAAGUCCACCGGAGGCAAGGCUCCAAGGAAGCAACUUGCUACCAAGGCUGCUAGGAAAUCAGCUCCUACCACCGGAGGCGUGAAGAAGCCCCACAGAUACCGCCCUGGAACUGUUGCUCUUCGUGAAAUCCGCAAGUACCAGAAGAGCACAGAGCUGCUGAUCAGGAAGCUCCCAUUCCAGAGGCUGGUUCGUGAAAUUGCGCAGGACUUCAAGACUGAUCUGCGUUUCCAGAGCCACGCAGUCCUGGCACUGCAGGAGGCUGCUGAGGCGUACCUUGUCGGGUUGUUUGAGGACACUAACCUGUGCGCCAUUCAUGCCAAGCGUGUCACUAUUAUGCCGAAGGAUAUCCAACUUGCCAGGAGAAUCCGCGGUGAGAGGGCUUAAGGGAUGAAGAAACAGAAAAGAUGGAACUAGAAUAUGUUGUGUUUUUAGGGUUUAUAGUUUCUUGUGUUUAAUGUGUAAUCUUAAGAAGUCGAGACAUGGUUUUCAUUGGUUGCAAUUGUAAUUGUGUUGAACCUCGUCGAAGUUCUAUUGACUUGAUAAAUGCUGUUUGUAUUUGAAAUUUUACUGAUUGGAUGGUGAUGGUUUGCAGUAUCUGUGUUUAGUCUUCUGCCAAUUUCCCGUUCGAUUCUGGCUCUGAUUAUACAAACGUCCCGUGGUC